rnacentral:rRNA from 1 species
GGGAUAGAAUUCCAGGAGUAGCGGUGAAAUGCGUAGAUAUCUGGAGGAAUACCAAAGGCGAAGGCAGUCCCCUGGUCCGAUACUGACACCGAGGUACGAAAGCGUGGGGAGCAAACAGGAUUAGAUACCCUGGUAGUCCACGCCCUAAACGAUGUCGAUUAGCCAUUGGAAGGACCCCUUUUCCUUUCAGUGACGUAGCUAACGCGUUAAAUCGACCGCCUGGGAAGUACGACCGCAAGGUUAAAACUCAAAGGAAUUGACGGGGACCUGAACAAGCGGUGAAUGAUGUGGAUUAAUUCGAUGCUACGCGAAGAACCUUACCUACCUUUGACAUGGCCAAAGUUCUACCGAGAGGCGGAAGUACUCGUAAGAGGAUUGGCGCACAGGUGCUGCAUGGUUGUCGUCAGUUCGUGUCGUGAGAUGUUGGGCUCAGUCCCGCAACGAACGCAACCCUUAUCUUUAAUUGCUCCUAUUUUAACAGGCACUUUAAAGAAACUGCCAAUGAUAAGUUGGAGGAAGGUGGGGAUCACGUCAAGUCCGCAUGGCCUUUAUAGGUAGGGCUUCACACGUCAUACAAUGGUUAGAACAAAGAGCUGCAAAUUCGUAAGAAGGAGCCAAUCUCACAAACCUAACCUCAGUUCGAAUUGCGGUCUGCAACUCGAGCGCAUGAAGCCGGAAUCGCUAGUAAUCGUGGAUCAGAAUGCCACGGUGAAUACGUUCUUAGGUCUU